rnacentral:rRNA from 1 species
UACGGAGGAUCCAAGCGUUAUCCGGAUUCAUUGGGUUUAAAGGGUGCGUAGGCGGAAUGAUAAGUCAGUGGUGAAAUCUCGCAGCUUAACUGCGAAACUGCCAUUGAUACUGUCAAUCUUGAGUACAUUUGAUGAGGGCGGAAUGUGUCAUGUAGCGGUGAAAUGCUUAGAUAUGACACAGAACACCGAUUGCGAAGGCAGCUCUCAAAACUGUAACUGACGCUGAGGCACGAAAGCGUGGGUAUCAAACAGG